AUAAAUUAAAAAUAUAUAUAUUCCAAUAUUAUUUACAAAUAUCCAUAUUCUAGUUAUUUCCUAAUCAUUCUACCAAGCACUUGUUUCUCCCCACACCCUACCAUUACCAUUGCACCCCAUAACCACAUAAUUCAUUUUAAUUCUAACACCAACUAAUCAAUCAAAAUCUAAAUAAUUCAAUUAAAUCAAUUAAUUGAAUUUUUGGUGUUACAACUAUCCCCCACUUAAAAAAAC
rnacentral:lncRNA from 1 species